UACGAAGGGGGCGAGCGUUGUUCGGAUUUACUGGGCGUAAAGGGCGCGCAGGCGGCUCUGCAAGUCAGAUGUGAAAGCCCCGGGCUCAACCUGGGAAUUGCAUUCGAGACUGCGUAGCUAGGGUGCGGAAGAGGGAAGCGGAAUUUCCGGUGUAGCGGUGAAAUGCGUAGAUAUCGGAAGGAACACCAGUGGCGAAAGCGGCUUCCUGGUCCAGCACCGACGUUCAGGCACGAAAGCGUGGGGAGCAAACAGGG
rnacentral:rRNA from 1 species